AACGCGAAGAACCUUACCCAGGCUCGAAAUGCAGAGGGCGAUAGCAGAGAUGUUAUUUUCCGAAAGGACUUCUGUAUAGGUGCUGCAUGGCUGUCGUCAGCUCGUGCCGUGAGGUGUUGGGUUAAGUCCCGCAACGAGCGCAACCCUUAUCAUUAGUUGCCAACACGAAAGGUGGGGACUCUAGUGAGACUGCCUAGGUUAACUAGGAGGAAGGUGAGGAUGACGUCAAGUCCGCAUGGCCUUUAUGUCUGGGGCUACACACGUGCUACAAUGGUCGGUACAGAAGGCAGCAAAACCGUAAGGUGGAGCAAAUCCCCAAAACCGAUCUCAGUUCAGAUUGUAGUCUGCAACUCGACUACAUGAAGUUGGAAUUGCUAGUAAUGGCGUGUCAGCAACAACGCCGUGAAUACGUUCACGGGCCUUGUACACACCGUAGUAC
rnacentral:rRNA from 1 species